CAAAGGUAUCCUGUCUUCUAGCAAUGGUCAAUGCCAAGUGUUUCUGAGGAAAUGACCAGUCCAGGUGCACUGGCUGAGCUGAAAAAGAAGACUGGAAUGGACAGCAACUAUCAAGAAACAACACUUUAAGAAAAAAAGAGAUUGAAAACUGAUUGAAAAAGUGGCCAAAUAUGAUGACAUGAAAGUCUGUAGUGGGAGCCUUUGCAUUCCUGUGUGAUAUCUACUGGUGACUGAUCUUCGCAAAUCAAACUACACAGCCACAAGAGAACACACAAGAGGCCAUUAUAUCAUUGUUUGAUGCAAAGGACAGCCAGAUAGAGCUGGCUGCAAAGGAGUAUCUCUGUGGCCACCCAGAGCUGCACUUCAUUGCAUCUUUGAAGAAGAAGACUAAGAUUUACAGUGUUUUCACCACUGCUCUGUCUGCUGAAGCAAAUCCUGCCUCCUCCUUGCACAGAUGCAGCAGAAUCACUGUUGUUUUGCAAUACUGAGAAGGCACUGCAGGAAUGUUAGAGUACAAGCAGGGGCAUGACAGGUUCUUAUUCAGAAGCUGUAAGUUUGAAAUUGAAAAUGUUCCUUACAGGGAAGACUGUAUGCAGAAAUAUUCUUGUACCAAUAUUUAGCGGUGUCGCAUUGAGCUCUCUCUCUAAGACUUCUAACUCAUACU